rnacentral:tRNA from 1 species
GCGAAUGUAGGUUAAUUUUUUAAACUAAUAGUUUUCAAAACUAUAGAUUUUGAUUCGAG